GGGGCCGUAGCUCAAUUGGUAGAGCGCGUCCAUGGCAUGGACGAGGUAGCGCGUUCGAUCCGCGUCGGCUCCA
rnacentral:tRNA from 2 species